rnacentral:rRNA from 1 species
GCUUGUCUCAAAGAUUAAGCCAUGCAUGUCUAAGUAUAAGCACCCUUAUACUGCGAAACUGCGUACAGCUCAUUAUAUCAGCAAUUAUUUAUUUGAAGGUCACCUAUUACAUGGAUAACCGUGGUAAUUCUAGAGCUAAUACAUGCGUAAAUACCCAACUGCUUGUCGGACGGGUAGCAUUUAUUAGAUUGAAACCAAUGCAGCUUCGGCUGGUAUUGUGUUGAGUCAUAAUAACUGUGCGGAUCGCUUUUUAAGCGAUAAAUCGAUUGAGUUUCUGCCCUAUCAGCUUUGGAUGGUAGGAUAUGGGCCUACCAUGGCGUUAACGGGUAACGGGGAAUUAGGGUUUGAUUCCGGAGAGGGAGCCUUAGAAACGGCUACCACAUCCAAGGAAGGCAGCAGG